CUGGCGGCACGCCUAACACAUGCAAGUCGAACGGAGAUAUUUGGUUACUGAGAUAUCUUAGUGGCGGACGGGUGAGUAACACGUGAGCAACCUGCCUCUGAGAGAGGGAUAGCUUCUGGAAACGGAUGGUAAUACCUCAUAACAUAAUUGAAAGGCAUCUUUUGAUUAUCAAAGAUUUAUCACUCAGAGAUGGGCUCGCGUCUGAUUAGAUAGUUGGUGAGGUAACGGCUCACCAAGUCGACGAUCAGUAGCCGGACUGAGAGGUUGAACGGCCACAUUGGGACUGAGACACGGCCCAGACUCCUACGGGAGGCAGCAGUGGGGAAUAUUGCACAAUGGGGGGAAAAACCCCUGAUGCAGCGAUGCCGCGUGGAGGAAGAAGGUUUUCGGAUUGUAAACUCCUGUCUUAAAGGACGAUAAUGACGGUACUUUAGGAGGAAGCUCCGGCUAACUACGUGCCAGCCGCCGC
rnacentral:rRNA from 1 species